rnacentral:rRNA from 1 species
GCAUAUCAAUAAGCGGAGGAAAAGAAACUAACAAGGAUUCCCCUAGUAACUGCGAGUGAAGCGGGAAAAGCUCAAAUUUAAAAUCUGAUAGUCUUUGGCUGUCCGAGUUGUAAUCUAGAGAAGUGUUAUCCGCGUUGGACCGUGUACAAGUCUCCUGGAAUGGAGCAUCAUAGAGGGUGAGAAUCCCGUCUUUGACACGGACUACCAGUGCUUUGUGAUGCGCUCUCAAAGAGUCGAGUUGUUUGGGAAUGCAGCUCAAAAUGGGUGGUAAAUUCCAUCUAAAGCUAAAUAUUGGCGAGAGACCGAUAGCGAACAAGUACCGUGAGGGAAAGAUGAAAAGAACUUUGGAAAGAGAGUUAAACAGUACGUGAAAUUGCUGAAAGGGAAACGCUUGAAGUCAGUCACGUUGGCUGGAAAUCAACCUUGCUUCUGCUGGGCGUACUUUCUAGUUAACGGGUCAGCAUCAAUUUUGACCAUUGGAAAAAAUUCAGAGGAAAGUGGCAUCUUCGGAUGUGUUAUAGCCUUUGUCUGCAUACAAUGGUUGGGAUUGAGGAUCUCAGCACGCCGCAAGGCCGGGUUUCGACCACGUUCGUGCUUAGGAUGCUGGCAUAAUGGCUUUAAUCGACCCGUCUUGAAACACGGACCAAGGAGUCUAACAUGCCUGCGAGUGUUUGGGUGGUAAACUCAAGCGCGCAAUGAAAGUGAAAGUUGAGAUCCCUGUCGUGGGGAGCAUCGACGCCCGGACCAGACCUUUUGUGACGGAUCCGCGGUAGAGCAUGUAUGUUGGGACCCGAAAGAUGGUGAACUAUGCCUGAAUAGGGUGAAGCCAGAGGAAACUCUGGUGGAGGCUCGUAGCGAUUCUGACGUGCAAAUCGAUCGUCAAAUUUGGGUAUAGGGGCGAAAGACUAAUCGAACCAUCUAGUAGCUGGUUCCUGCCGAA